rnacentral:lncRNA from 1 species
AAUCCACUGCAACAACCUCAAUCUUUAUCCCAAUCGAAGUAGCUAGAAUCACCUCCGUUUCCUCCAUCUUACCUGCAACAGUUGGAACUAACUCCACAUUCUUCCAAUCAUCCUGAAUCAUAGCUCUUUAAUUUUGAGAGAAGCCAGUGCCUGCUGGAUCUAAAACUGCAAGUGAUAGAACCGAGCUUCCCCAACUUCCCUUGUGAACCACCUGGCGGCUCUUCGCUUUUGUCCUUUCCAUCCAACACGAAAUGAUUCACAUUCAUCUUUACGUGUCAUCAUGACCUUGUGUUCCAGAAUAGUAUCUUCAGCUACUUGGUCUUCACAUUCUACCACAAGGUCUUCCAUGGAUGGCAAUAUUUCUUCGGGCUCAUCAUCCAGCAUUGAUGGCUCGAAGGUCUUUAGGUUCUCGACAUUGACGACCGAAUACAUCUACAUGUAGGUGGGCAGCUCCAAUUG